rnacentral:rRNA from 1 species
GAUGAACGCUGGCGGCGUGCCUAAUACAUGCAAGUCGAGCGAACGGACGAGAAGCUUGCUUCUCUGAUGUUAGCGGCGGACGGGUGAGUAACACGUGGAUACCCUACCUAUAAGACUGGGAUAACUUCGGGAAACCGGAGCUAAUACCGGAUAAUAUUUUGAACCGCAUGGUUCAAAAGUGAAAGACGGUCUUGCUGUCACUUAUAGAUGCAUCCGCGCUGCAUUAGCUAGUUGGUAAGGUAACGGCUUACCAAGGCAACGAUGCAUAGCCGACCUGAGGGGGUGAUCGGCCACACUGGAACUGAGACACGGUCCAGACUCCUACGGGAGGCAGCAGUAGGGAAUCUUCCGCAAUGGGCGAAAGCCUGACGGAGCAACGCCGCGUGAGUGAUGAAGGUCUUCGGAUCGUAAAACUCUGUUAUUAGGGAAGAACAUAUGUGUAAGUAACUGUGCACAUCUUGACGGUACCUAAUCAGAAAGCAACGGCUAACUACGUG